rnacentral:rRNA from 1 species
UACAGAGGUCCCGAGCGUUGUUCGGAUUCACUGGGCGUAAAGGGUGCGUAGGUGGCAGGGUAAGUCGGAUGUGAAAGCUCGGAGCUCAACUCCGAAAUGGCAUUGGAAACUACCCAGCUCGAGUGUUGGAGGGGGGACUGGAAUGCUUGGUGUAGCAGUGAAAUGCGUAGAUAUCAAGCGGAACACCAGUGGCGAAGGCGAGUCCCUGGACAACUCCUGACACUGAGGCACGAAAGCUAGGGGAGCAAACAGG